UUGUGCAACGUGUAUGUGGCCGUUUCUUUCUGUUUUUUUGCUGUUUGCUGUUGUACGGAGGACUAAGCUAGCAUUCAAAAUUUAAAAAUCAAAUGUACAUUCCUAAGAUGCACUUUUUUACACCUCUAUGUAGCGGUACUUUUUUAGUAUUUGACCAUUAGCUCCGAUGAUGACGUUUAUGUCGAAAGCGCUCAGCUAAGGAAAUAAAAUUAUUUACACACUUUGA